GAUGAACGCUAGCGGCAGGCUUAAUACAUGCAAGUCGAGGGGCAGCACGGUUAGCAAUAACUGGUGGCGACCGGCGCACGGGUGCGUAACACGUAUACAAUCUACCUUAAACAGGGGGAUAGCCUUUCGAAAGAGAGAUUAAUACCCCGUAAUAAAUUGAACGGCAUCGUUUGAUUUUGAAAGCUCCGGCGGUUUGAGAUGAGUAUGCGUCUGAUUAGCUAGUUGGUGAGGUAACGGCUCACUAAGGCGACGAUCAGUAGGGGAUCUGAGAGGACUAACCCCCACACUGGUACUGAGACACGGACCAGACUCCUACGGGAGGCAGCAGUAAGGAAUAUUGGUCAAUGGAGGCAACUCUGAACCAGCCAUGCCCGCGUGCAGGAUGACGGCCCUAUGGGUUGUAAACUGCUUUUAUACAAGAGAAAACCCUGGUACGUGUACCAGGUUGAUAGUAUUGUAAGAAUAAGCAUCGGCUAACUUCGUGCCAGCAGCCGCGGUAA
rnacentral:rRNA from 1 species